AAAUCCAUAUCCACCUUGUGUGCAAUGUCGGUCGAUCUUCUUCAUGGAGAUCGACCAAACAUCAACCUUUAUCUUUUAACUCUUUGUCUGAAAAAUAUUAUGAAUAAACAAUUCAAAAUACAACUUUCAACAACGGAUCUCUUGGCUCUCGCAUCGAUGAAGAACGCAGCGAAAUGCGAUACGUAAUGUGAAUUGCAGAAUUCAGUGAAUCAUCGAAUCUUUGAACGCAUAUUGCGCUCUUUGGUAUUCCGAAGAGCAUGCUUGUUUGAGUAUCAGUAAACACCUCAAAGCUUUUGGAUUUUUUAAUCGAAAAGCUUUGGACUUGAGCAAUCCCAACACCAAUCUUUUUGAGAUCGGUGGCGGGUUGCUUGAAAUGCAGGUGCAGCUGGACAUUCUCCUGAGCUAAAAGCAUAUUCAUUUAGUCCCGUCAAACGGAUUAUUACUUUUGCUGCAGCUAACAUAAAGGGAGUUUGACCGUAUUGGCUGACUGAUGCAGGAUUUCACAAGGGUCGGCAACGAUUCUUGUUAAACUCGAUCUCAAAUCAAGUAAGACUACCCGCUGAACUUAAGCAUAUCAA
rnacentral:rRNA from 1 species